AUGCACGAUGCACCCCGGGCUACUCUUAUUAUCUCCAUGACGGUGAUAGCCCCAUUGCUCGUGCUAGAUUGUCGUCGUUUAGUGUUGCAGAUUAGCCUUUUGCUUUUUUCCACGGCUGAUCUGUGUCAAAAUAACGGCUACAUUU
rfam:Cucumis melo, WGS project CAJI01000000 data, contig: 11914